GACGGGGGCCCGCACAAGCGGUGGGAGUAGUGUGGUUAAUUCGAUGCAACGCGAAGAACCUUACCUGGUCUUGACAUCCCGGAGACCCUUAGGAAACUAGGGGGUGCUUCCAUCUGGAAGAAUCUGGAGACAGGUGCUGCAUGGCUGUCGUCAGCUCGUGUCGUGAGAUGUUGGGUUAAGUCCCGCAACGAGCGCAACCCUUGCCUUUAGUUGCCAGCAGUUCGGCUGGGCACUCUAAAGGGACUGCCGGUGUUAAACCGGAGGAAGGUGGGGAUGACGUCAAGUCCUCAUGGCCUUUAUGACCAGGGCUACACACGUACUACAAUGGCCGAUACAAAGGGCAGCGACACUGCGAGGUGAAGCCAAUCCCGUAAAAUCGGUCUCAGUCCGGAUUGGAGUCUGCAACUCGACUCCAUGAAGUUGGAAUCGCUAGUAAUCGUGGAUCAGCAUGCCACGGUGAAUACGUUCCCGGGCCUU
rnacentral:rRNA from 1 species